CUGAGCCGAAAUCAAGAGUCAGACGCUUUGAGCCACCCAGGCGCCCUGCUUUCCUUGUUUUUGAUGACCUUCAUGGUUUUGGGGAGUACUGGUCAGUUGUGCAGUAAGAUGCCCCUCUCUUGGGAUUCCUCCAAUUUCCCCCCGCCCCCUCGGGAUUAGACCGGCUUUGUGAGUUUUGGGCAGGAAGAUCACCGAGGACAUUUUCAUCACGUCUUGUCAAGGGUCUAAAUGACCCACAUGACUUAGCACUGUUAAUGUUCAUCUUGAGUGCCUGGCUGAGGUGGCUGGCAUUCGUCAGGUUUCCCUCCCUGCCUCCACCCUUCCCAUGUAAUGCUCUUUGGAACUGAGUCACUGUGCUCAGACCACACUUCGUGAAUGGGGAGUUGUGUUCCCUCUCAUUUAGGGUGGAGCUUGGAUUUCUUUUUCAGUGUCAGCCUCCUGUGUUUCCCUCCAUCUUUUCUUCCUUCCCUUGCCCUCCCAAAGUCUUUUUUCUGAUGUCUCUCUUCCAACCUACGUUUGGGUUUUUUUUUUUCCUCUUUAGAUAUAAGUACUCCCAGGUUUUAGGCUCAGUCCCCGUAUGCUCCUCUUUUCCUUAAAGCUGUAUUUUUUCUGAGUUGACCCUGUAGAACGUCCCUUCUCUGGGAUGCUCUGGCGCAAAGGGUUCUACGGACCAGCGCGUGCAAAAACUAGCUCAUUCCUUACCCCUCCGUAGAGACUCAUGGUGCGGGAGCACGUUAAAGGCUCUGACAAGUCCCGCAAUAAGGAGGCCCGUUUAACUCAAAGGCUUCCCAAAUGUAUUUUGCCUUGAAGCCUUUUUACCAUAUUCCAUUGAUUCAGAGACGCACAUGUUUUUUCCCCCCACGUGUUAACCAUUUCUGAAACUGAGCUACAUCUUACAGCUGAUUGGGCAAGAAAACUAUGUUUUUUUUCUUUCUUGGAAGUUCCUGCAGUCACGGCAUCAGAUACUUCGAUGGUAUUUGAGAUUUGAGGAGAUGCAGUGUUCACGGCACAUCUGUGGGUCCUCCUUCAGAACCAGUAAAAAGUGGAAACCGUGUUAAGAAACUGAGACUGCCAGGUGGUCAGACCCCACCUCUCCCUAGUGGGAGGCCCCGCCUCCUUGGCUUCCGGCGUCCCUCAGUUUAAUACCGAGCCCAGAUUCACAGAGCACGUCGCCCGGCCCGCCCUACUUUCCACUGUGACCGAAACGAACAUUCCUUUCUGUAACAAGAGAAUGCUGAAGAUGAUGGCCAGCUUUGCAGGGUCAAUCUAUACACAUGGAACAUGUCCACAGGAUGAUGGUAUUUAAGGGAUUUCACGAGGGGAGCCCUUCAGCGAGCACAUUUCUCCACGUGGAAAAUAAAGCGAUGACCUGGGGAACAAGUGUCCAUGCUUCUCGUGAUUGUUGGCCGUGACCACGUAGCACUUCGCUGCCUGCCCGGUCCCGAGCUCCACAUUUUAAAAAAUAUGUGUGCCACGCGAACUAGCUGUUCAUCUGGGAAGCUGGUUCUAAACCACCUACCUCCUCAGCCACAGUCCCCAGGGAAGGCUGGAACGUUGGAGGGGGAGCGAGAGGGGAAGUGUUCGUCCAUGAAAGCCUGGCGACAUCUGAGCAGCUAACCGCGCGGCGGAUUCUGGAUUCUGCACUGAGUAGGUAAAGAGAAAUUGCCGGGCCCUGCAGGGGUCAAGGUGGGGAAUGGAGAGGUAAGGAGUGCAGGCAGAGCACACAGUUAAAAUCAGCCAGUAGAUGAGUUCCCGGGGACAAACGUCAAAUCCCUCCUACCCGCCAGGGAGAGGAGGGCUGCGGGUGUAGACGCCUGAGGACAGCAUCCAGGCAGCCAGAAAAGGGAGGUGCCCAGGAUAGGACCCCAGAGACCUGGGUUCUGGGGCUCACGCCGCCAACCUUAACCAAGGGGCUCUGAGGCUCCUUCCGGCUCCCAGUGCCUGUGAUCUGUGCUGCCCUUUGCGCUUGAAAUUCUCCUCCUCAUCUCCCAACCCAAGUGCCUCCGCCUCCGUGAAGCCUCCCUUUGCUGCCCCGUCUGGGCUCUGUGAUGUCCACAGCUCGGAGCUUGAAACGGGUUCGGACCUGACGUGUUCCACCUGAAACCGAGCAGCAUAAGCAUCUGACAGCUGGGGCAGCCGGAAGCCGGGGCAGGAAGUAUCCGAAAGCUCACUCGCUCACUCACACGGCUGAUGGCUGACACUGGCUGUUGGGUAAGACCCCAGCGGGGGCUGUUGGCUGGAACGUCUGGUGGGUGCCCGAGUCUGUUUCUAUGACACGAUCUCGUCAAUGUAAUGGACUGAUGGUGUCCUGAGGGAUAUGCAGUGGGGCAGGUCCCUUUGGACCCCAUUACGACAGAGGGUGGGAGAGGUAACGUGACCCUUGGGAAGGAUCAUCAGUGCGUGCUGCUGUCUAAGUGAAAGUGAGUUGUUUCUUUUUUUUUUUUUUUAAUUUUUUUUUUCAACGUUUAUUCAUUUUUGGGACAGAGAGAGACAGAGCAUGAA